rnacentral:siRNA from 1 species
CAUCAAUUAUAGUUUGCAGUGGUCC